GCCGCUCGAAACUUUGCAUACCUCUAUGUGGUGGGCAUCAGGCAACAUAGUAUAAACGAGGCACUGUGGCUAAGAAUGAAGA
rnacentral:ribozyme from 1 species